ACAGAAUUUUGGUGCAAGGAGCUGU
rnacentral:piRNA from 1 species